CUCGAGUGUGAAGAGACGGCAUUGAAUAACAACACGAGAGAGCACUGUGAGUUACGAUUUGCUUGGUUUCUUGAAUUGACGUUUGCUUUUCACUGCUCUUGUAUAGAAAUGAGAAUCGACAUUUGGAAGAUGCACAGUUCAACAUCUGGAGAUCUCUGCACUUUCGUCCUUAUCGUGGGAUAUUAAGUUAAUUAGUCUUUUUUAUAGAAUAUUAAGUUUGGUAAAAGAAAAUACCACAUUUUUAUACGUUGGUAUUGUAUGUAGUGUACUUGUGGUGCGCAAGAAGAGAUUGGCCAUGAAGUUCAUACGUUUAGUCUUAGAUUAAGUUAUUUCACAUAAACAUGUGUGCUUAAUGACAUUAUAGAAUCGUUUUGUCAGAUUGGCACCAAGUCAAUCGUAUACGUAUAUAACAAGAACGUGAGCUAUUCUGCUACUUAACUGUACGUAGUUUUGUACUUUAGUUUUAAAACUCACAUUCAUCUGACGUUUUCGUAACAUAUAAGAAAACAAAAAUUUUAGUAUCAGAGAAAAAAUUAUAUAUAGAGAAUAAUACAUGGGUAAAGCGAUAAUUGAAAAACAAUAAAACAUCCGUGGCAAUGCGUUCUCUGAUUGGUCAAACAUAUUUCCUACGCGCUUUUUGAUUGACUUGCAAAAAU